UAAUAAGUAGUGAAGUAAAAUUUACAUUUAGUUUCGACCUAAAAAUUUGAGAAAAUUCUCCUUACUUU
rnacentral:tRNA from 1 species